UAAUCUUUUGCCUUUUAAUGGAGGCUAGUAUGAAUGGGCAGACCGGGGUUUAGCUGUCUCUCUUUUAGGUUCUUGAAUUUAUUAUCUUUGUGAAGAAACGAAGAUGUUGUCGUAGGACGAGAAGACCCUAUCGAGCUUUAGUUAUUGGUUAAGGCUAAAGGUUUAAUUUUGUUGGGCUAAUAAAAAUAGAGAAUAAUCUUACUCAACAACAAAAACAGAGUUGUUAACUAAAAUGCUUUGGUUGGGGCAACCGCGGAGAAAAAUCACCCUCCGCUUUUUUAAAUGAAAAAUUAUUAUUUUUAGUGAUCGAAUGUGUUUAAAAUGAUCCACUAAAAAGUGAUCAAAAGAACAAGUUACCGUAGGGAUAACAGCGUAAUUUUUUUGGAGAGUUCAUAUUGAUAAAAAAGUUUGCGACCUCGAUGUUGGAUCGGGACUUCCAGGAGAUGCAGCAGUUUCCAAGGGUUGGUCUGUUCGACCAUUAAAGUCCUACGUGAUCUGAGUCAGACCGGA
rnacentral:rRNA from 1 species